AGAGUUUGAUCCUGGCUCAGGACGAACGCUGGCGGCGUGCCUAAUACAUGCAAGUCGAACGCUCUCGACCUUCGGGUCAUAUGAGAGAGUGGCGAACGGGUGCGUAACACGUGAGAAACCUGCCCUAAAGACGGGAAUAACUCGAGGAAACUCGUGCUAAUACCCGAUACCCUCCUUGGACCGCAUGGUCUGUUGAGGAAAUGCUCCGGCGCUUUAGGAGGGUCUCGCGGCCUAUCAGCUUGUUGGUGAGGUAACGGCUCACCAAGGCAUCGACGGGUAGCUGGUCUGAGAGGACGAUCAGCCACACUGGGACUGAGACACGGCCCAGACUCCUACGGGAGGCAGCAGUAGGGAAUCUUGCGCAAUGGGCGAAAGCCUGACGCAGCAACGCCGCGUGGGGGAUGAAGGCCUUCGGGUCGGAAACCCCUUUCAGCAGGGACGAAAAUGACGGUACCUGCAGAAGAAGCCCCGGCCAACUACGUGCCAGCAGCCGCGGUAACACGUAGGGGGCAAGCGUUAUUCGGAAUCACUGGGCUUAAAGCGUGCGUAGGCGGAUGUGAAGGCGUCCUGUGAAAUCCCUCGGCUCAACCGAGGAACUGCAGGGCGAACCAUACAUCUUGAGACAGGUAGGGGUCGUCGGAACGAUAGGUGGAGUGGUGAAAUGCGUUGAUAUCAAUCGGAACGCCGAAGGAGAAGUCAGGCGACUGGGUCUGUUCUGACGCUGAGGUACGAAAGCGUGGGUAGCGAACGGGAUUAGAUACCCCGGUAGUCCACGCCGUAAACGAUGUGCACUAGGUUGGGGACGUACUGACACGUUUCCUGGCCGAAGCGAAAGUGUUAAGUGCACCGCCUGGGGAGUACGGUCGCAAGGCUAAAACUCAAAGGAAUUGACGGGGGCUCACACAAGCGGUGGAGCAUGUGGCUUAAUUCGAAGCAACGCGAAGAACCUUAUCCUGGGUUUGACAUGUAUGGAUUAACUCCGUGAAAGCGGAGCCACGCCUUCGGGUGGAACAUGCACAGGCGCUGCAUGGCUGUCGUCAGCUCGUGCUGUGAAGUGUCGGGUUAAGUCCCUUAACGAGCGCAACCCCUAUCCUUAGUUGCUAACAGGUAAUGCUGAGAACUCUAGGGAGACUGCCGGUGUUAAACCGGACGAAGGUGGGGAUGACGUCAAGUCCGCAUGGCCUUUAUGCCCAGGGCUGCACACGUGCUACAAUGGCAGGUACAGAGCGACGCAAGACCGCGAGGUGGAGCAAAUCGCGAAAGCCUGCCCCAGUUCGGAUUGCAGGCUGCAACUCGCCUGCAUGAAGUUGGAAUCGCUAGUAAUCGGGGAUCAGCACGCCCCGGUGAAUACGUUCCUUAGCCUUGUACACACCGCCCGUCAAGUCAUGGAAGCUGGCAGCGCCCGAAGUCGCCACGAUUCAGUGGUGCCCACGGCGAGGCUGGUGACUGGGACUAAGUCGUAACAAGGUAGCC
rnacentral:rRNA from 1 species